rnacentral:lncRNA from 1 species
CAGACCCCAAACCUGACCUACAGAACAAGAAUUGCUAGUCCGGGAUUCUGCAUCUUUAAUAAGCUCCUCCCCACCCCACCCCGACCAGCCCAUCACCAUAGUGAUUCUGUUGCACUCACAACUUUAGGAAUCAAAGAUGAUUGGCCCAUCAUAGUGGAGAAUUACAAGGCUCCUCCUUCUUCCUCCCUGCUUCUGGACUCUGACUGCCUGCCAGAUGCACCAGGUGACAGGGAGAAAGAGCCACUGUGA